rnacentral:lncRNA from 1 species
UGGGUAUGGAUCCGCACUAUUGUUUUCUGAUGCUGUAGCUAACAACUAGUAGACUUACCUUCCCUCCACAAAGACAAGGCUCCCGUAACUAUUAAUAUUGCAUGGAAGCACAGAUGAUCUGCCAAUAAAUGAAAUUCCCCGACUCUGUUCGUUUGGUCCAGCUGGCAACUACAAGAGCUAGGGACCUUAGAUGUGCUGUUUUCCCUUGGGAAAGUAGGUAUAGAAGAAUUAAAUGAACCUGUGCACAAAAUAGACAACACGUGGUGCCUUGCACUAAUAGAAGAACAAUUCAUGAAGCUGUUCUCUUAGGUUGUCUACCUGAGUUUGUUUAUUUAUUCUGUCUUGGGUUUUGACUAUCAAAUUAGAAGAACAUCAAAUCAAGAACGUGAAGAAUCUCAUGAAAAUUAUUAGCCAUAGCUGAGAAACACAACAUUACAAAUGAAAGCACAAAAUUAGUGACAAAUUCUAAAUAAGUAGUAGGACGAGUAACCCCAAAAUUUCCCACUUGUCACCACCUCGUUUUCACGGACUCCUUUUUGCCAAGCCCAGAUGACUGAUUGUUUUAUUUGUGCAUGAAAUAUUCCCAUUCUAUUUAUUUACUACACCCCUUUCCAUGAUAAUUCGAUGCAGG